GGGUCAUCAAUACGUUUUCACUUGGCACAGAGAAGCUGAUGAAAAAGGAUGUGCGAAAAUGUCAAACUGCAGCUGAUAUUUCUCAAGACAGAGGAGGAAAAAAUGAAAACAAAUCUCAACAAACUCAUCCGUGAGCGUAAGAAACGAUCUACAGCAGCCUGACAACAACAAUCGAGGAGACCAUGAAAGAAUGCUAUGACAGAGCAAAAAGAAAUCAGAGGAGAAGGCACGCUGAAAAACAUGAGGGAAACUAUUGAAAUGCAACGUUGAUGGUUCAAAAGAACAUCAUGUUUGCUCAGGCUAAAGACGCCAUGAUGAAACAGCUGAGAGACUUGAUUUUGGAGAUCCUGGAGAAACAGUGUAACAUGAUGCAGGAAUCAAUCGAGCUGUCACUCAAAACAGGAUGGUGUCUCCAUCCCAGAUGUAAGUGUGGAGCUGAGUUGGUAAGAAAUACUACAAUGAACUGACCGGAAGCCCAGAUGAUGAUGCAAUUCUUUG